GGGGUAGUUUUUAGUGCGUAUGCGCGAUGGAUGGCGAAUCGUGCAUGCUGCUACUAAGAACCACGGGUAUCUUUUGAAGAUUUUCCACCUCC
rfam:Glossina palpalis gambiensis isolate 146720 unplaced genomic scaffold Scaffold23, whole genome shotgun sequence.